CAGACGACUUUCCCCCCUUCCAUCACAAAAUCAACACAAAAGACAUUAAAGACGACUACAUAAAUGCUACAGAGGGCUACAAAGAUGAAGAUAAAUUUAUCGCAUUACAAGGCCCAAAUGAAUCAAGCGUCAUCGACUUUGUUCGAAUGUUGUGGGAACAAAAAGUUGAUAAAGUUAUAAUGUUGGAUAAUCGGAUAGAGGAAAGGAAGG